GGCAACGUAGCCAAGCGGUCUAAGGCGCCAGGUUCAGGUCCACCUGAAUUCAAUUAUCCUGGUCUCAGUAAUGGGGCGUGGGUUCGAAUCCCACCGUUGUCA